GAUGAACGCUGGCGGCGUGCCUAAUACAUGCAAGUCGAGCGAACAGACGAGGAGCUUGCUCCUCUGACGUUAGCGGCGGACGGGUGAGUAACACGUGGAUAACCUACCUAUAAGACUGGGAUAACUUCGGGAAACCGGAGCUAAUACCGGAUAAUAUAUUGAACCGCAUGGUUCAAUAGUGAAAGACGGUUUUGCUGUCACUUAUAGAUGGAUCCGCGCCGCAUUAGCUAGUUGGUAAGGUAACGGCUUACCAAGGCAACGAUGCGUAGCCGACCGGAGAGAGGGAUAGGCCGCACUGGAACUGGACCACGGUCAAGACUCCUACGGGAGGCCGCAGUAGGGAACCUUCCGCAAUGGGCGAAAGCCUGACGGAGCAACGCCGCGUGAGUGAUGAAGGUCUUCGGAUCGUAAAACUCUGUUAUUAGGGAAGAACAAAUGUGUAAGUAACUAUGCACGUCUUGACGGUACCUAAUCAGAAAGCAACGGCUAACUACGUG
rnacentral:rRNA from 1 species